GAGUACGGCCGCAAGGUUAAAACUCAAAUGAAUUGACGGGGGCCCGCACAAGCGGUGGAGCAUGUGGUUUAAUUCGAUGCAACGCGAAGAACCUUACCUGGUCUUGACAUCCACGGAAGUUUUCAGAGAUGAGAAUGUGCCUUCGGGAACCGUGAGACAGGUGCUGCAUGGCUGUCGUCAGCUCGUGUUGUGAAAUGUUGGGUUAAGUCCCGCAACGAGCGCAACCCUUAUCCUUUGUUGCCAGCGGUCCGGCCGGGAACUCAAAGGAGACUGCCAGUGAUAAACUGGAGGAAGGUGGGGAUGACGUCAAGUCAUCAUGGCCCUUACGACCAGGGCUACACACGUGCUACAAUGGCGCAUACAAAGAGAAGCGACCUCGCGAGAGCAAGCGGACCUCAUAAAGUGCGUCGUAGUCCGGAUUGGAGUCUGCAACUCGACUCCAUGAAGUCGGAAUCGCUAGUAAUCGUGGAUCAGAAUGCCACGGUGAAUACGUUCCCGGGCCUUGUACACACCGCCCGUCACACCAUGGGAGUGGGUUGCAAAAGAAGUAGGUAGCUUAACCUUCGGGAGGGCGCUUACCACUUUGUGAUUCAUGACUGGGGUGAAGUCGUAACAAGGUAACCGUAGGGGAACC
rnacentral:rRNA from 1 species